rnacentral:rRNA from 1 species
AUGAACGCUGGCGGCGUGCCUAAUACAUGCAAGUCGAGCGGAAAGGCCACUUCGGUGGUACUCGAGCGGCGGACGGCUGAGUAACGCGUAGGAACGUACCCCAAACUGAGGGAUAACUGCUCGAAAGAGUAGCUAAUACCGCAUGUGCUCUACGGAGUAAAGCUUCGGCGGUUUGGGAACGGCCUGCGUAAGAUUAGCUUGUUGGUGAGGUAAUGGCUCACCAAGGCGACGAUCUUUAGCUGGUCUGAGAGGAUGAUCAGCCAGACUGGGACUGAGACACGGCCCAGACUCCUACGGGAGGCAGCAGUAGGGAAUUUUCCACAAUGGGCGAAAGCCUGAUGGAGCAACGCCGCGUGCAGGAUGAAGGCCUUCGGGUUGUAAACUGCUUUUAUAUGUGAAGAUUAUGACGGUAGCAUAUGAAUAAGGAUCGGCUAACUCCGUGCCAGCCGCCGCAGUAAAAC